rnacentral:rRNA from 1 species
UACGAAGGGUGCUAGCGUUGUUCGGAAUCACUGGGCGUAAAGCGCGCGUAGGCGGCCACUCAAGUCAGAGGUGAAAUGCCGGGGCUCAACCCCGGAACUGCCUUUGAAACUGUGUGGCUGGAAGGUAAGAGGGGAGAGCGGAAUUUCUGGUGUAGAGGUGAAAUUCGUAGAUACCAGAAGGAACACCGGUGGCGAAGGCGGCUCUCGUGGCUUACUCUGACGCAUCUGGGCGCGAAAAGCG